rnacentral:tRNA from 1 species
AAGCAAGUACAUGUGACUUCCAAUCACCUAGUCUUGGUUAGNAUCCAAGGAAAGAUA